rnacentral:rRNA from 1 species
UACAGAGGGUGCAAGCGUUGUCCGGAAUCACUGGGCGUAAAGGGCGCGUAGGCGGAUGUGCCAGUCAGGGGUGAAAUCCCGGAGCUCAACUUCGGAACUGCCUCUGAUACAGCACGUCUUGAGUCCGGAAGAGGUGGGUGGAAUUCCUAGUGUAGAGGUGAAAUUCGUAGAUAUUAGGAAGAACACCGGUGGCGAAGGCGGCCCACUGGUCCGGUACUGACGCUGAGGUGCGAAAGCGUGGGGAGCAAACAGG